CUGUGCAUUGCAUUGCUUGCGCACAUAGGCCUCCUGUGCAUUGCAGUUGCUUGCGCACAUAGGCCGUGUAGUUUGGUAUGAAUUUUUUUUUGACACUAUAGCAUUUUCGUUUAUUUUUAGUAAUUAUUGUCUAACCAUGGAUUAAUUAGACUUAAAAGAUUUAUCUCGUAAAUUCCGACCAAACUGUGCAUUUGGUUUUUAUUUUCAUCUAUAUUUAAUAUUUCAUGUAUACGUCUAAAGAUUCGAUGUAAUGGGAAAUUUUAAUUUUUUUUAGAUUUUUAGGUGGAAGUAAACAAGGUCAUACACUUCUUGGGUUUCUUCUCGCAUUGCAACGAAGAACAUACUACGCAGCUGGUACGUACCCCGCCAUGAUCUAUGGCGGGGUACCCCUAACCCGCCGUAGUCUAUGGCGGGGUACAUGUCAGCAGUCUCGUCGUCAUGGACGCCACGUGGAGGCUGGCGGGGUACAGUGUAUUUGUCCCGCCAUGUAUGGUGGCGGGGCCAAACGGGUUAGUCUUAUUUUUUUUUCAAAAUCGUGUCGAAUUUGAAAUAUGUUUUGAAUUUAGGCUAAAAAUAAAAAAAAAUUCCUCAGCUCACACUGACAGUGACACGUAAGAGCACCGGUCAUUGCCAUGCUGGCCACAACCAUAAAAUAUAUAAUCCGGCCAUAAAAGAGAUUUAUAAGACUACCAUUGGUUAUAUAUUAUUUAUUUCUAACUGUAAAAUGGAUAACAAUGUACGUACCAGUGAAAUUGUAACCAAAAUAACGACACUUUGAUAGUGACAC
rnacentral:lncRNA from 1 species